GAGUUUGAUCCUGGCUCAGGAUGAACGCUAGCGGCAGGCUUAAUACAUGCAAGUCGAGGGGCAGCAGCUUUAUAGCAAUAUAGAGGCUGGCGACCGGCAAACGGGUGCGGAACACGUACACAACCUUCCUUGAAUAGGGGGAUAGCCCAUAGAAAUGUGGAUUAAUACCCCGUAAUAUAGCGGUGUGGCAUCACACUGUUAUUAUAGUUUYGGCGAUUCGAGAUGGGUGUGCGGCUGAUUAGGUAGUUGGCGGGGUAAAGGCCCACCAAGCCUUCGAUCAGUAGCUGAUGUGAGAGCAUGAUCAGCCACACGGGCACUGAGACACGGGCCCGACUCCUACGGGAGGCAGCAGUAAGGAAUAUUGGUCAAUGGACGCAAGUYUGAACCAGCCAUGCCGCGUGAAGGAUGAAGGUCCUCUGGAUUGUAAACUUCUUUUAUAGGGGGCGAAAAAAGGUCUUUCUAGAUCACUGACAGUACCCUU
rnacentral:rRNA from 1 species